rnacentral:lncRNA from 1 species
CGACCCUUCCUCUCCCUAGUCUUAGCGAGUCUAAACAACUUUUUAUCCCCUCCUUUCCCUUGUAACCCUGCAUACAAGCUCUCAAAAGCGGCCGUCUUAGCUGCCGUGACUGCUGACUUAGCUUCCUUCCUAGCUAGCUUGUACUCUUUCUUGUUUACCCGCUUCUAUUCUUCGUCCUUACUCUCAACCAAUUUAGCAUACGCCCCUUUCUUGGUCCUCACUUUCUUCUCCACCUCUUCAUUCCACCACCAAUCCCCCCGAUGAUGCCCGGCCCGGCCCCUAGAAACACCCAAUACCUCACUUGCAUUCU